UCUUCUUCCUAUAAUUGUGAAGCAGAAUUCACCAAGCGUUGGAUUGUUAACCCACUUAUAGGGAACGUGAGCUGGGAUUAGACCGUCGUGAGACAGGUU
rnacentral:ncRNA from 1 species